rnacentral:rRNA from 1 species
UACAUAGGUCCCGAGCGUUGUUCGGAUUCACUGGGCGUAAAGGGUGCGUAGGUGGCCGGGAAAGUUUGAUGUGAAAGCUCAGGGCUUAACCCUGAAAUGGCAUUGAAUACUACUUAGCUUGAGGUUUGGAGGGGGGACUGGAAUUCUUGGUGUAGCAGUGAAAUGCGUAGAUAUCAAGAGGAACACCAGUGGCGAAGGCGAGUCCCUGGACAACACCUGACACUGAGGCACGAAAGCUAGGGGAGCAAACAGG